CAUCGCCUCCUGCAACUAAACUGAGUAUAGGAGGUCCAGCCUGCCCAGUGACUACGGGUUCAACGGCCGCGGUAUUUUGACCGUGCAAAGGUAGCGCAAUCACUUGUCUCUUAAAUAGAGACCUGUAUGAAUGGCUAGACGAGGGCUUAACUGUCUCCCCUAUCAAGUCAGUGAAAUUGAUCUAUCCGUGCAGAAGCGGGUAUGACCAUACAAGACGAGAAGACCCUUUGGAGCUUAAGGUACAAAUUUACCCACGUUAAACAACUCCAUAAAAAGUAAGAACUUAGUGGCAGAUAAAAUUUUACCUUCGGUUGGGGCGACCGCGGAGGAAAAACAAGCCUCCGAGUGGACUGGGCCAAACCCCUAAAGCUAAUAGAGACAUUUAUAAGCCGCAGAAUAUCUGACCAAAAAUGAUCCGACCACAGUGAUCGAUCAACGAACCAAGUUACCCUAGGGAUAACAGCGCAAUCCCCUCCCAGAGUCCAUAUCGACGAGGGGGUUUACGACCUCGAUGUUGGAUCAGGACAUCCUAAUGGUGCAGCCGCUAUUAAGGGUUCGUUUGUUCAACGAUUAAAGUCCUA
rnacentral:rRNA from 1 species